GGGGAUGUUUUGGGAUUCGACAGGCGUAGAUCCGCAUUGACUGCAAUUCGUAGGUCACGUCUACGUUAAAACGUCACUUUUAAAUUUAACUGCAAAAAACAGUAAUUCUUACGCAGUAGCUGCUUAAUUUAGCGCCUGUGUUGCUUACUGACAGCUUACUCGUGGCUGUCUCUAAGUAUCAACUUAGCGAGUUACAUUUAACUACCUCACCUGAAUAGUUAAAAAGAGUCUUGACAGGUUAGCUAGUUCAUUUUAGCCCUGUUAUAUGGCGUUUUGAGCUAGUGAAGUUCAAGUAAUAUAACUAUAAUUGUAGAGGUCAGUGACGGAAUGCGUUUGGACAGGGGUUCAAUUCCCCUCAUCUCCAUUU
rfam:Lactobacillus sp. ASF360 genomic scaffold acMPL-supercont1.3, whole genome shotgun sequence.